rnacentral:rRNA from 1 species
GUGAGUAACCUGCCCUUGACUCUGGGAUAAGCCUGGGAAACUGGGUCUAAUACCGGAUAUGACUUCUCAUCGCAUGGUGGGGGGUGGAAAGCUUUUGUGGUUUUGGAUGGACUCGCGGCCUAUCAGCUUGUUGGUGGGGUAAUGGCCUACCAAGGCGACGACGGGUAGCCGGCCUGAGAGGGUGACCGGCCACACUGGGACUGAGACACGGCCCAGACUCCUACGGGAGGCAGCAGUGGGGAAUAUUGCACAAUGGGCGCAAGCCUGAUGCAGCGACGCCGCGUGAGGGAUGACGGCCUUCGGGUUGUAAACCUCUUUCAGUAGGGAAGAAGCCCUCUUUUGGGGGUGACGGUACUUGCAGAAGAAGCGCCGGCUAACUACGUGCCAGCAGCCGCGGUAAUACGUAGGGCGCAAGCGUUAUCCGGAAUUAUUGGGCGUAAAGAGCUCGUAGGCGGUUUGUCGCGUCUGCUGUGAAAGACCGGGGCUCAACUCCGGUUCUGCAGUGGGUACG